ACUCAAAGGAAUUGACGGGGGCUCACACAAGCGGAGGAGCAUGUUGUUCAAUUCGAAGCAACGCGAAAAACCUUACCUGGGUUUGACAUGUACGAAGUAGGAACCUGAAAGGGCAACGAUACGGGAAACCGGAAAACGUACACAGGUGCUGCAUGGCUGUCGUCAGCUCGUGUCGUGAGACGUUAGGUUAAGUCCUGUAACGAGCGAAACCCCUGUCGUCAGUUGCUACCGCGUAAUGGCGGGCACUCUGGCGAGACUGCCCUUGUUAAAAGGGAGGAAGGUGGGGACGACGUCAAGUCAUCAUGGUCCUUACACCCAGGGCUACAAACGUGCUACAAUGGUCGAUACAGAGAGAAGCAAUCUCGCGAGAAGGAGCCAAUCUUCAAAAUCGACCUCAGUUCGGAUUGGAGGCUGAAAUUCGCCUCCAUGAAGCCGGAUUCGCUAGUAAUCGCGGAUCAGAUACGCCGCGGUGAAUACGUUCCUGAGCCUUGUACACACCGCCCGU
rnacentral:rRNA from 1 species